GAUGAACGCUAGCGGCAGGCUUAAUACAUGCAAGUCGAGGGGCAGCAUGAGUGUAGCAAUACAUUUGAUGGCGACCGGCAAACGGGUGCGGAACACGUACACAACCUUCCUAUAAGUGGGGAAUAGCCCAGAGAAAUUUGGAUUAAUACCCCGUAACAUAAUGGUGUGGCAUCACAUUAUUAUUAUAGCUACGGCGCUUAUUGAUGGGUGUGCGGCUGAUUAGAUAGUUGGCGGGGUAACGGCCCACCAAGUCUACGAUCAGUAGCUGAUGUGAGAGCAUGAUCAGCCACACGGGCACUGAGACACGGGCCCGACUCCUACGGGAGGCAGCAGUAAGGAAUAUUGGUCAAUGGACGCAAGUCUGAACCAGCCAUGCCGCGUGAAGGAUUAAGGUCCUCUGGAUUGUAAACUUCUUUUAUCUGGGACGAAAAAAGGCGAUUCUUCGUCACUUGACGGUACCAGAUGAACAAGCACCGGCUAACUCCGUGCCAGCCGCCGCCGUAAUAC
rnacentral:rRNA from 1 species